AUGAAAAGUUCAUAUUGCUCUGUUAUUGAGAAUAUGAAUAAGGAGAAAGUGUUUUUGUUUGAGAAAUACCAAGAGGCCCAAGAAGAAAUAAUGAAAUUGAAAGAUACACUAAAAAUUCAGAUAACACAAGAAGCUAGUGAUGAAGCUGGAGACAUGAAAGAGGCCAUGAACAGGAUGAUAGAUGAACUUAAUAAACAGGUAAGUGAGUUGUUGCAGCUGUACAAAGAAGCCCAGGCUGAGCUGGAGGAUUAUAGGAAGAGGAAGUCUUUAGAGGAUGUAACAGCUGAAUAUAUUCACAAAGCAGAACAUGAGAAACUGAUGCAAGUGUCAAAUGUAUCCAGGGCUAAAGCAGAAGAGGCACUGUCUGAAAUGAAGUCUCAGUAUUCAAAAGUGUUAAAUGAGUUGACCCAGCUCAAACAACUGGUAGAUACACAGAAAGAGAACUUUGUGUCCAUCACAGAACAUUUGCAAGUGAUAACCACCCUUCGGACAACUGGGAAAGAGAUGGAAGAAACAAUAGGCAGGCUUAAAGAGCACCUUGCAAGCAAGGAAGUGGAAGUGGCAAAGCUGGAGAAGCAACUUCUAGAGGAGAAAGCUGCUAUGACCGAUGCAAUGGUACCCAGGUCUUCCUACGAAAAGCUCCAGUCAUCCCUAGAGAGUGAAGUGAGUGUGCUAACAUUGAAACUAAAGGAGUCAGUAAAAGAGAAAGAGAAAGUCCAUUCAGAGGUUUCCCAGGUUCAGAGUGAAGUCUCACAGGUGAAAAGGGAAAAGGAAAACAUUCAGACUCUCUUGAAAUCCAAAGAGGAAGAAAUAAAUGAACUUCUGCAAAAAUUCCAGCAAGCUCAGGAAGAGAUUGCAGAAAUGAAAAGAUAUUCUGAGAGCUCUUCAAAACUGGAGGAAGAUAAAGAUAAAAAGAUAAAUGAGAUGUCAAAGGAAGUCACGAAAUUGAAGGAGGCCCUGAACAGCCUCUCACAGCUCUCCUACUCAACAAGCUCAUCCAAAAGACAGAAUCAGCAACUGGAAGUGUUGCAGCAGCAGGUCAAACAGCUACAGAAUCAGCUGGCUGAAUGCAAGAAACAUCACCAGGAAGUCAUAUCAGUUUACAGAAUGCAUCUUCUGUAUGCUGUGCAGGGCCAGAUGGAUGAAGAUGUCCAGAAAGUACUGACACAAAUCCUGACCAUGUGUAAAAACCAGUCCCAGAAGAAGUAAAGUGGAUUCCUUGGCAAGACACUGCCCCUUAUUGUCCAUCUUUGUGUUAGAUCUGGAGUUGGUGGCGACCACUGCCAUUGUUCUCAUUUGUGGUAUGCAAUGUGACCACCAUAGCUUCUUUCCUUUCCAAAGUUUCUGGGGAUUAGUCCAAGGACAAGGCUGUCCUCCACAGAACUGGCUAGACUUCAGACCAGCAGAGGUGACAGUCCCAGGCAUCCUUUCACAUUCCACAGUUGGGAUUAGGCACACCUAGAGGUCUGAUCCUGGUAUUGGCAGCUGCCCAUCCUGCUUGGUACCUGAAUAGCUGGUGGCUUUAUCACUACCAAGUGAUCUGCAGAGGGCUAUAUGCAGUGAAUACUGCUUCAGUUCUGCCCUUCACCUGUGCCGUUCAGCAUAGGAGAGCUUUUUGUUGCCUUUGGCUUCAAAUCCCAAAACAUGAUUUAAUUUCUAACCAAAUUAGUAAGGCAGUAGUUGUGAAGUGCAUGCUUAAGACCCUUUAUCACAGCAGCCUGUUGUAAAGUUAAAAGCGCUAAUUCAUAGUUUCUCCCCAGCUGCCUUAUGUAACUCAUCACCCUACUUAUCGAUCUGUUUGAUGAGCACUAUUAACUAAAAUAUGAAGUUUUAAAAGUAAAUCAUUAACAUAUUACAAAUUUCCUAUGCAAACUUGGCUCCUGCUAUUAUCCAUGAAGCUCAGGAAAUCCAAAUAUUUGUGUUUCAACAAGGGACAGUAAACUGUAUGUUUACAGCCAAAAGAAAUGCCUCAUAAUUUUUAACCUCGAUUUUUUAAAAGUGUUUUUUCUCUAUAAUAUUUUUAUUGGCUCUCAAAGACAUUUUCACAUUUAAACCCUAAAUACGUGAAAUUGCAUUAGAUUAUAUUAACAAAAUAUUUUUAGGUAACCAUGCUUAAGACUUUUUAAAAAUAGAACAUUUUCCUCAAAGUUUUCAGCUAUAGAAAAAGUAGUUAUGUAUUCAAAUCUUAAUAUAAGCUGCCGCUUAUACCCCCUAGGACUUUCUGCCACAGUGUUCUUGGAACUGUAGUGCAUUUCUGAAUAUAGCAAAUCCUCUUUUUACCCAUUGAAUAGUUUCAAAUGUCCCCACUCAAAAAGCAGCCAUACAUCAUCUCUGGAAGGAUUGCUAAUAUUAAUCAGUUUUUUUAAACUUUGAGACUAAAAAUCAUGAUAUGGUAAAAUAGUGCAUAGCAAAAGUCUUGGGGGAAAUAUCCCUGUUCCCUUUAUUUUCAGUUUAAAAAUGUUUCUAACUUGCUUGCAGCUUCUCUUAUGGUAUUGAUCUUGAGGGAGAGAAACAAUAUAAUUUUAAUAUGAAGUUAAAUGUAGAGGCCUACUCUGACAGGGACCAGACCACAUAUGGGAUCCCUGGGCUUGGAGGGUACUUGGCUGAACUGAAUAAUAAAUUAAUCUGCAUUGGAGGAGGACCAAUGACAGCAAAACAAAAAUGGCUUUAAAGCUUGAUGUUGUUUCUUUUCUUGAGUUAAUUAUAACUAAGCAAUGUCAAAGAUGCUCCAAAGAAAUGUGAAAGGACUUUUUGUCACAGCACUUAAAAAAAUUCAGAACAACCAUCCACAUACCCCCACACAGAAUGCUGCAGAGUAUAAAACUUGAGACAUUUUGUAGGAUGCCUGACAAAGUGUAGCCUUUAAUCUUGUUUCAGGAUGCAUAUUUCUUACAAGUACUCUAGUUAAAUAUUGAAAAGGUAUAUGCUAUAGUUUAGCAUUUUGUCUUUGUAAUUUACAGAAAUUUUUAGGGAAAAUAAACAUGUUUCAUUAAAAAAAAAAAAAACUACACAUAGGCAUAUAAUUGUUAAAAUUCCAGAAACACAACAGUAAAACAAAGU
rnacentral:lncRNA from 1 species